rnacentral:rRNA from 1 species
GUGGGGAAUAUUCCGCAAUGGAUGAAAGUCUGACGGAGCAACGCCGCGUGAGUGAUGAAGGUUUUCGGACUGUAAAGCUCUGUUGUUUAGGACGAAAGUGCCUGUUGCAAAUAGUUACAGGUAUUGACGGUACUGAACGAGGAAGCCACGGCUAACUACGUGCCAGCAGCCGCGGUAAUACGUAGGUGGCAAGCGUUGUCCGGAAUUAUUGGGCGUAAAGAGCAUGUAGGCGGGAAUCUAAGUCUGUUGUGAAAAUGCGGGGCUCAACCCCGUAUUGCGAUGGAAACUGGGUUUCUUGAGUGCAGGAGAGGAAAGGGGAAUUCCCAGUGUAGCGGUGAAAUGCGUAGAUAUUGGGAGGAACACCAGUGGCGAAGGCGCCUUUCUGGACUGUGUCUGACGCUGAGAUGCGAAAGCCAGGGUAGCGAACGGGAUUAGAUACCCCUGUAGUCC